rnacentral:rRNA from 1 species
GUACGGGAGGCAGCAGUAAGGAAUCUUGCGCAAUGGCCGAAAGGCUGACGCAGCGACGCCGCGUGUGGGAGGACGCUCUUCGGGGUGUAAACCACUGUUGCCCGGGACGAACAUCCACUUUCGAGUGGACUGACGGUACCGGGUGAGGAAGCACCGGCUAACUCCGUGCCAGCAGCCGCGGUAAUACGGAGGGUGCGAGCGUUGUCCGGAAUCAUUGGGCGUAAAGGGCGCGUAGGUGGCCCGGUCAGUUCGUGGUGAAAGCGCGGGGCUCAACCCCGCGUCGGCCAAGGAUACUGCUGGGCUCGAGCACUGUAGAGGCAGGCGGAAUUCCGGGUGUAGCGGUGGAAUGCGUAGAGAUCCGGAAGAACACCGGUGGCGAAGGCGGCCUGCUGGGCAGUAGCUGACACUGAGGCGCGACAGCGUGGGGAGCAAACAGGAUUAGAUACCCCGGUAGUCC